ACAAAGUACGACUCCGUACUUAUAUAUGUAAGAUUUUGUGAUGAGCAUGAUUAUUCUACACUUGCAUGUUGAGACUGCGGUCUGAUAAUUCUGUUGUGUGCAGAUUUUGCGACCCGGUGACGAGAGAUCAUGCUGUUUUCAUGUAUGUUACUUUUUCCUUAUCUUUAUUUAAUUUGCCUUUAUAUGAUGAGUGGGCAGAUCCAUCCAUGGCUGGCCUCCAGUUUGUAUUUUUUGUUUUGUUACAAUUAAUUUUGCAUCUUGUAUAAAGGCCUAAGAUUGAUCUUUUCUUGUCUCCCCUACACAGUUUGCUGGUCACGGCAGGGAAGUAUUCAACUCAAGCACAUCUAGAGGUUUCGAUGUCAAAAAACCUGUGGUGGUGCCAUCUAAAAGAUCAUCAGAAGCUGUAGUUGUGCCAUCUAAUACGAUUCUUACGAAAAACAGAUGUGAUGUUGUCGAAUCAAUGAUUUACCAGAUGCUUAUAACUUUUGUAAUUUUUAAACAUAUCAAUUUGUUU
rnacentral:lncRNA from 1 species